rnacentral:tRNA from 1 species
GGCUCUGUGGCCUAAUGGAUAAGCCGUCGCUCUCCUAUAGGGGAGACUGCGGGUUCGAGUCUUGCCUGGGUCG